AUGACGUCAGCUGCUGAAAUCUGCUCCCAGUCUGUGAAAUCAGGCUGGGUACGUGCUGUCUCCCACCCCUUCUCCUGCCUGCGUGGAUGCUGCGUCUCCCUGGGCAGAGCUGCUCUCCCACGAGGUUUUCCAUGCUGCCUUAGCCUUGAAGAACUCCUCUGCAGCUGGCGCCCACACCAGCCAGCAAUGCCUGAAAGGGAACCUUCUGAGGCACAGCAUUUCUGGCAUAUUUUCUGCUUGCCAUCUGUCUGCAGGGAACCAUCCUCAGGGCAGGAGCCUCCUGUGUCACAGAUUUGGUGCAUCAACCAAGGGCACUGUGACACUCACCAAAGGCAAGGCAGACACAGAAAUGUCACCUUCAGUCUGAGAUCAGUCCAGCACAUCCUGUCAAAGCACCCACACUGGCUGGAGGGAAGGAAAGAUGUCUUGGCUCAUCCUGACAUCAGACCACUGGGCCACCAGCAAGGAAUGUCAUGUUCAUGACACAGAAGAGAUGGAGGACCAGGACCACCUAGCCCAGUAUAAAGAAUAUUCUUCUGGCAAGGUGUGAAGGACAGGGAUCCUCAGGUACCCCUUCUUGACCACCAUUUGUGUAUGCUGUCCAAAUAAUUGUUUUUGAAUGGCAGCCAG
rnacentral:lncRNA from 1 species